rnacentral:tmRNA from 1 species
GGGGAUGACAGGCUUCGACGGAGGAGGCUGGUCCCGGACGGCGAGCCGAGAGGUACCGACCUCGUAAAAUCAGUACAAAAAACAAGUGCCAACAACCGCACUUACGCUGCUCUGCCUCUGGCUGCCUAAGCCCGGGCAUCAGCAAACUGACCUCAAUGCAGGUCACGUCUACUCACCCCGCUCCUUGACCGGAGGUGGGAUAGGCGCAACAAAGUCAAGGUGCUGCGCCGCAGCGUCGUGAGCGGCGUAAAAGAGGGCUUUCGGGUCCAAACGACUGGCUGGCGGCUGAUUUUGUCCGUUUCUCAACCGCCAGCGAGAACCAAAACGAGACUACGCUCGUAGAUGUUCGAGGGCCUAAUCUUUCGGACGCGGGUUCAAUUCCCGCCAUCUCCACUC